rnacentral:rRNA from 1 species
AGUGAACGCUGGCGGUAGGCCUAACACAUGCAAGUCGAACGGCAGCACAGUAAGAGCUUGCUCUUACGGGUGGCGAGUGGCUGACGGGUGAGGAAUACAUCGGAAUCUACUUUUUCGUGGGGGAUAACGUAGGGAAACUUACGCUAAUACCGCAUACGACCUACGGUUGAAAGCAGGGGAUCUUCGGACCUUGCGCGAUUGAAUGAGCCGAUGUCGGAUUAGCUAGUUGGCGGGGUAAAGGCCCACCAAGGCGACGAUCCGUAGCUGGUCUGAGAGGAUGAUCAGCCACACUGGAACUGAGACACGGUCCAGACUCCUACGGGAGGCAGCAGUGGGGAAUAUUGGACAAUGGGCGCAAGCCUGAUCCAGACAUACCGCGUGGGUGAAGAAGGCCUUCGGGUUGUAAAGCCCUUUUGUUGGGAAAGAAAAGCAGCAGGUUAAUACCCCGCUGUUCUGACGGUACCCAAAGAAUAAGCACCGGCUAACUUCGUG